UACGUAGGGGGCAAGCGUUGUCCGGAUUUAUUGGGCGUAAAGAGCGUGUAGGCGGCCUGAAAGGUCAGCUGUGAAAACUCGAGGCUCAACCUCGAGACGUCGGUUGAAACCAUCUGGCUAGAGUCCGGAAGAGGAGUGUGGAAUUCCCGGUGUAGCGGUGAAAUGCGCAGAUAUCAGGAAGAACACCCGUGGCUAAGGCGGCUCUCUAGUACGGUACUGACGCUGAGACGCGAAAGCGUGGGGAGCGAACAGG
rnacentral:rRNA from 1 species